CACCAGUGUCUGGAAGUCUCUAUUCUUGGAAACUGCGGUAAUUUCGGAGCUAAUAAUGCUAUACACAGCCACUCUUGGAGCAGUGCUUUUAUUAUAUCAAAACCAAACGGCCUCGCGCCGUCCCCCUGGUGAUUCAGAAUAACUUUGCGCUGAUCUCAUGGGCACUAGCCGGCGACGUAUCCUUCCAAUGUGUGCCCUAUCAAUUGUCGACUGUGGCAUAGACCCCCACAGUGGUUUUGACGGGUAACGGGAAAUUAGGGUUCUAUUCCAGAGAGGGACCCUGAAAAACGGCUACCACUUCUACGGAAGGCAGCAGGUGCGCAAAUUACCCCCUGGUCGAAGACCGAGGUAGUGACGAAAAAUAACGAUACCGGACUCUUCCGAUGCCCGGUAAUCGGAAUGAGUACACCAUACAUCCUUUAACUAGGA
rnacentral:rRNA from 1 species